CAUAACAGAGCACAGAAAUGGCAGUACUCAAGCAUCACCCAAACUGUGUAUCCUUUGAUUAUUAAGUCAAGCCCUGCUUCGCACAGCACCCUUCUUGCCUCCAGAUCACAGGAAAGCCUGAACCUUGAUAUCAUAAGAGGAAGACUCAACACCCAAGUAGAACUACUCAAGGGCCAUAGCACAAUUUGGAGUCCAGGACUUGGAGUUCUGCAUUAGCCAUGGAUGUAUCUCUCCAAAACCUUAGGAAUAAAAAUAAGAACAAAAGACAAAACAGCUUGAUAAACACAGAGACAUUUUUCACCUUUAUCAAAAGUUCUCUGUGGCUCCCCCAAGGUGAAGUUCCAGAAAGGCACUAAGACACAGCUGUAGGAAAAGCUGAAAGGACCCUGGACGACAUCCAAUUCACACCCUUACUAACAUAAACAGUCCACACAUUCAAUGUAUAUCAUUGUAAACAGAAUCAGAGCACUCCAGAGAUAACUGUAAUUUUGUACAGUCAUCGAACACAAUAUUCUUAUUUUUGUAAGGCUUCUCUGCUUUUUUUAUUUGGAGUAAUGGAGUG